GAUCCUGGCUCAGAUUGAACGCUGGCGGCAGGCCUAACACAUGCAAGUCGAACGGUAACAGGAAGCAGCUUGCUGCUUCGCUGACGAGUGGCGGACGGGUGAGUAAUGUCUGGGAAGCUGCCUGAUGGAGGGGGAUAACUACUGGAAACGGUAGCUAAUACCGCAUAAUGUCGCAAGACCAAAGAGGGGGACCUUCGGGCCUCUUGCCAUCGGAUGUGCCCAGAUGGGAUUAGCUUGUUGGUGGGGUAACGGCUCACCAAGGCGACGAUCCCUAGCUGGUCUGAGAGGAUGACCAGCCACACUGGAACUGAGACACGGUCCAGACUCCUA
rnacentral:rRNA from 1 species